UCGGUCGGGGUGGUGGUCCGCGCUGCCGUCCACCCCAAUUAAUUCGGUGGUGCGGUUCGGGUUAGUGCAGUCCCUCGUGCGAUCAAUUAGUGCCCUACUGGACAUGCUACGGGGUUAAAAGUGAUGAAGUGUUUUCUCCAACGUGACUUUGAUGGACAAAUCCUGAAGUGUGAUGACCCAACCAACCAUUGGAGAGACGAUAAGGCAACAGGGAAAGGGCAUUAAAGGUAGGUCCAGAACGAGACUAGUUAACUGGGCAACUGGCAACGCAAAGUAAGUUUUUGAACAUGAUAUUUCCGGUUCUCCUUUCGUCCUUUCAACUUUGCCAUCGGUUCA